UGGGGAAUAUUGCACAAUGGGCGCAAGCCUGAUGCAGCCAUGCCGCGUGUAUGAAGAAGGCCUUCGGGUUGUAAAGUACUUUCAGUCGGGAGGAAGGUGUCAAGGUUAAUAACCUUGGCAAUUGACGUUACCGACAGAAGAAGCACCGGCUAACUCCGUGCCAGCAGCCGCGGUAAUACGGAGGGUGCAAGCGUUAAUCGGAAUUACUGGGCGUAAAGCGCACGCAGGCGGUUUGUUAAGUCAGAUGUGAAAUCCCCGGGCUCAACCUGGGAACUGCAUCUGAUACUGGCAAGCUUGAGUCUCGUAGAGGGGGGUAGAAUUCCAGGUGUAGCGGUGAAAUGCGUAGAGAUCUGGAGGAAUACCGGUGGUGAAGGCGGCCCCCUGGACGAAGACUGACGCUCAGGUGCGAAAGCGUGGGGAGCAAACAGG
rnacentral:rRNA from 1 species